AAGGGAGACCUAAUUCAGGUAGGAGACGAAAAAAUAGUAGUCUCAACCAAGAAUCAAUCCCAAAAGGUCGGAGCGAGGCGAAAUUGGCUUUCAAACUAGGUUCUGGGUUCAAACAAGACCUGAAUCAGGAACAAGGGCUAUUAGCUCAGGUGGUUAGAGCGCACCCCUGAUAAGGGUGAGGUCCCUGGUUCGAGUCCAGGAUGGCCCACCUGCACAGGUGGCAAAAACAAAGAAGAGAAGCUCCGAAUCAGCACCUUAUCUUAUCUAUAGAUAAGAGAGAAUGCUGGCUCUGAGUUCAGAGUCCAGAGGAACCUUGAAAACUGCAUAGAGCUAGGUGAAAAAGCCAAAAAAGAAGACCGCAA
rnacentral:tRNA from 1 species